GACUAAAAAAUGAAAUAUGAAAUGAAAUGAAAUAAUGAAAUGAAGAAAUGAAAUAUAAAAUAAAAUAAUCCCAAGCUUGGGACCCAGACUCUAACUGCUGAAAUGGAACCCCAGUGUGGAUCAGAACCUGGUGAUGAGACAGGGACACUUAAGAAUUCAACUUUGGGAGCUCAAGGUGCCCUCCAGUCCUCUCCUCACAGUGUGGAAACACUCUUUCCUUCAAAACCUUCAUUUGUACCAGCAGGAAACUCUCACCCGGAGUCAAUGUAAAGUCGUGACCUAAAUAAAUUGUCAUGUUCCCAAACCUUUUCUCCAGGGGACAAUGCAAACAAGUUUUUCACUGAGUCUGACCCUCACAGAUUUUCUUCAUGUAUACAAAUUACAGCCUGACUCAGCGACCCCAUGAAUGCUAAAACCAAAACACUGUCCAGGAAAUGGCCCCAGGCGCCAAAGGCUCCAGACUGGUCUCAGGCUCUCCUGCCCACUGCAGUUUAUUCACUUGCUUCUCACCAACACUGAUCCACUUAGGUAAGAAAAAAGACCUUCAAUCCCCUUUGCUGUUUGUUUGUUUUUAAGAAACUAGCAGAGUUCCUGCUUUCCUUCUGUGGUUAUGUAUAAGCUGGAAGACAAAAAAUUCUAAAAUACUUUAUAUGGAUUUUAAAACUGGCAAGUAAUGAUUCCUUUGAGAAAACAAAGAUAUCAGCUAUGCUAUUAUGAUUUAUA
rnacentral:lncRNA from 1 species